rnacentral:rRNA from 1 species
AGGGAAUCUUCCGCAAUGGACGAAAGUCUGACGGAGCAACGCCGCGUGAGUGAAGAAGGUCUUCGGAUCGUAAAACUCUGUUGUUAGGGAAGAACAAGUAUCGUUCGAAUAGGGCGGUACCUUGACGGUACCUAACCAGAAAGCCACGGCUAACUACGUGCCAGCAGCCGCGGUAAUACGUAGGUGGCAAGCGUUGUCCGGAAUUAUUGGGCGUAAAGCGCGCGCAGGCGGUCUUUUAAGUCUGAUGUGAAAGCCCACGGCUCAACCGUGGAGGGUCAUUGGAAACUGGAAGACUUGAGUGCAGAAGAGGAGAGUGGAAUUCCACGUGUAGCGGUGAAAUGCGUAGAGAUGUGGAGGAACACCAGUGGCGAAGGCGACUCUCUGGUCUGUAACUGACGCUGAGGCGCGAAAGCGUGGGGAGCAAAC